UAAGAAAUCCAUACCACCCUGAGCGCGCCCAAUCUCGUCUGAUCUCGGAAGCUAAGCAGGGUCGGGCCUGGUUAGUACUUGGAUGGGAGAAUCCACUAUGUUUUAGGUCAGCUUCUCUG
ensembl:rRNA 5S_rRNA 5S ribosomal RNA